CCUACGGGUGGCAGCAGUGAGGAAUAUUGGUCAAUGGGCGCGAGCCUGAACCAGCCAAGUAGCGUGAAGGAUGACUGCCCUACGGGUUGUAAACUUCUUUUAUAAAGGAAUAAAGUGAGGCACGUGUGCCUUUUUGUAUGUACUUUAUGCAUAAGGAUCGGCUCACUCCGUGCCAGCCGCCGCGGUAAUACGGAGGAUCCGAGCGUUAUCCGGAUGUAUUGGGUUUAAAGGGAGCGUAGAUGGGUUGUUAAGUCAGUUGUGAAAGUUUGCGGCUCAACCGGAAAAUGGCAAUUGAUACUGGCAGCCUUGAGUACAGUUGAGGUAGGUGGAAUUCGUGGUGUAGCAGUGAAAUGCGUAGAUAUCACGAAGAACUCCGAUUGCGAAGGCAGCUUACUAAACUGCCACUGACAUUGAUGCUCGAAAGUGUGGGUAUCAAACAGGAUUAGAUACCCCUGUAGUC
rnacentral:rRNA from 1 species